rnacentral:rRNA from 1 species
UACGUAGGUGGCGAGCGUUGUCCAGAUUUAUUGGGCGUAAAGCGCGCGCAGGCGGUGCGGUAAGUCUGUCGUGAAAUCUCCCGGCUCAACUGGGAGGGUGCGGUGGAGACUGCCGGACUGGAGGCACUCAGAGGCCGGUGGAAUUCCCGGUGUAGUGGUGAAAUGCGUAGAGAUCGGGAGGAACACCAGUGGCGAAGGCGGCCGGCUGGGGGUGACCUGACGCUGAGGCGCGAAAGCGUGGGGAGCGAACCGG